UUAAGUUCAGCGGUAGUCCUACCUGAUUUGAGAUCGAACGGUCAAAAUCUGUCCUCACUGAGGAGAGACGUUUAUAAGCCCCGGUGAACCUCCAUCACUGAAGGUUAUCUGAUGGGAAACCACAAGCGUAGAUAGUUAUCACACCUGUGAUGCCACCAAACACCGGCAAGCUAAUUCAUUUAAGAGGAGCUGGCUCACAG
rnacentral:misc_RNA from 1 species